AUUGAACGCUGGCGGCAGGCCUAACACAUGCAAGUCGAACGGCAGCACAGAAGAGCUUGCUCUUUGGGUGGCGAGUGGCGGACGGGUGAGUAAUGUCUGGGAAACUGCCCGAUGGAGGGGGAUAACUACUGGAAACGGUAGCUAAUACCGCAUAACGUCGCGAGACCAAAGUGGGGGACCUUCGGGCCUCACACCAUCGGAUGUGCCCAGAUGGGGUUAGCUAGUAGGUGGGGUAAUGGCUCACCUAGGCGACGAUCCCUAGCUGGUCUGAGAGGAUGACCAGACACACUGGAACUGAGACACGGUCCAGACUCCGACGGGAGGGAGCAGUGGGGAAUAUUGCACAAUGGGCGCAAGCCUGAUGCAGCCAUGCCGCGUGUAUGAAGAAGGCCUUCGGGUUGUAAAGUACUUUCAGCGGGGAGGAAGGCGGUGAGGUUAAUAACCUCGCCGAUUGACGUUACCCGCAGAAGAAGCACCGGCUAACUCCGUGCCAGCCGCCGCAGUAA
rnacentral:rRNA from 1 species